CUGAAUGGGGCGGCAUCAUCUUCUUAAUUUGCCUUCACUAUCAAGGAAAAAACUCCCUCUCACUUUCCCUUCAUCUUCUUCGUACCUACGUUGGCUCUUUCUUGGGUUCUUCGUGCUUGCUCGCCUCUUCUCUCACUCAGCAUACCACCGCCUACGCUGCCUCCAUCGACCACCGCACCCUCUAAUUCGGUUGAAUCAGUCUUAGCAGUAUGUUUCACCUGCUUUCUUAUAAGAUGUAUUGUGGGGAGUUUCUUGCCUUCUCGGUCUUUGCUGAGGAGUUGACAUGAACUGUCAGUUAGCUGUGGGAUAACAAAAUUUAGCGAAAAACACCGGAAGGAUAUAUAUAAGAAGGUGAAAAAGAAUAAUCCAGGGAUGAAGUGGAACAAACCACAGGUAUGUAUUCCGUAUUUUAUAAAUUUUUACCUUUAGACUAUAUGUAUAUGUAUAAGCUCUUAUUAUGACUAAUUUCUUUAUUUUUGUUGCAAGUGUCCUCGUCAACCCUUAAACUCCUAUGAAUAUGGAUAUUAUAUUUGCCGCUACAUGCAUGCUUGAGACUAUAGAAAAAGGCAGACAAUUUAUUUCCGACCAGUGAAGUAGCUGUACUUAUUCUCAAGUGAAAGGGACUUAUUGAUUACCCAUGUGUCCGAGCAUAAAGAACUAGAUGAAGAGUCUGAAGAUGGUAUGAAUUAUGAAGAUGAUGAUAUGGCGUAGGUGAUGUAUAACUUCAUUUUAUUUUAGAAUUUUGUAUUUUUUUGCGGGGAAGAUCCUAGGACGAAACAUUAAGUACCUUUAGGCGUUAACAUUUUUUGUAAUAUUAUUUUUUGAUUAAUGAAAGAUUUGGAUUUUUUUUGGUAUUAUAAGUAUGUUAC